rnacentral:rRNA from 1 species
AGGAUAUAUUCGGAACAUCUUCUUCAGAAGAUGCGGAAUAACGUGACAUAUUGUAUUCAGUUUUGAAUGUUUAUUUAACAUUCAAAUAUUUUUUGGUUAAAGUGAUAUUGCUUUUGAAAAUAAAGCAGUAUGCGAGCGCUUGACUAAAAAGAAAUUGUACAUUGAAAACUAGAUAAGUAAGUAAAAUAUAGAUUUUACCAAGCAAAACCGAGUGAAUAAAGAGUUUUANAACUCAAAGGAAUUGACGGGGACCCGCACAAGCGGUGGAGCAUGUGGUUUAAUUCGAAGCAACGCGAAGAACCUUACCAAAUCUUGACAUCCUUUGACAACUCUAGAGAUAGAGCCUUCCCCUUCGGGGGACAAAGUGACAGGUGGUGCAUGGUUGUCGUCAGCUCGUGUCGUGAGAUGUUGGGUUAAGUCCCGCAACGAGCGCAACCCUUAAGCUUAGUUGCCAUCAUUAAGUUGGGCACUCUAAGUUGACUGCCGGUGACAAACCGGAGGAAGGUGGGGAUGACGUCAAAUCAUCAUGCCCCUUAUGAUUUGGGCUACACACGUGCUACAAUGGACAAUACAAAGGGCAGCGAAACCGCGAGGUCAAGCAAAUCCCAUAAAGUUGUUCUCAGUUCGGAUUGUAGUCUGCAACUCGACUACAUGAAGCUGGAAUCGCUAGUAAUCGUAGAUCAGCAUGCUACGGUGAAUACGUUCCCGGGUCUUGUACACACCGCCCGUCACACCACGAGAGUUUGUAACACCCGAAGCCGGUGGAGUAACCUUUUAGGAGCUAGCCGUCGAAGGUGGGACAAAUGAUUGGGGUGAAGUCGUAACAAGGUAGCCGUAUCGGAAGGUGCGGCUG